UCUGCAUUUUUUCCAGUUUUGCAAAGUGCGCUCAAGCCCACUCGACUUGAAUGUCUGCUCUGCGGCGCAUCCUGUUGCGCAGAUGGCUGCUGUGUUCGAUGCGCUCGAGCUCAACAGGGCAAAGCUCGAGCCCAUUCACUUGAAAGGCUCCUUUGCUGCACAUCGUAGCGGGCUGAGGGUUGUUGAGGGGCAUGUGUGCUCGAGACCAACAGAGCUGAGCUCGAGCCCAUUUCCAAAAAAUUCGAAUUUUUUGCCUUUUUGCCUCAAAACUACAAAAUAUAUCAGAAAAUAACAAAUUCAAAGGCCUAACAAGUGCAAAUUAAGGGGUCCAAAUAUACAAUAUUUGACACUCAUCAUCUGCAAUCAUAGUCACUACCAUGGUCUCAAGGAUCGCUCAACCCUAGUAUGCCGAGGAGAUAGCAGGCUGAGCUAGGAGGCCGGAAUGGGGGCAGGUUUAAUUAUUGAGUCCAAUCAAACUACAUAAAAUUUUAAAUGAGUGCAUUGUUACAAUUUCACAAUGGUGCCAAUUACAAACAGCAAGGCCGACAAUGAUGUGGUUGGAAGUGUUGUCAACAACGAAUCUGGAAGUGUAAGGAAUCAAGGUCCGAACCUGGAGGCUUUGAUAGCAUUAGCAACACAAAUGAUAUGCUUGUUGGAAGACCUCAUCCAUAGAGUAUCAGCGAUUAAAAGGACGCUGAAGACUAACACGAAGUUCCUUAGCCCCUAGGGAAAGAGAUCAGCAUCCCAGAAUGAAGGAGGGAAAGAAAUACAUCUCAACAAGAAGCGAAAUAAUCAGAGC